rnacentral:rRNA from 1 species
AUUGAACGCUGGCGGCAGGCCUAACACAUGCAAGUCGAACGAGUGGCGGACGGGUGAGUAAUGUCUGGGAAACUGCCUGAUGGAGGGGGAUAACUACUGGAAACGGUAGCUAAUACCGCAUACCAUCGGAUGUUCCCAUAUUGGAUUAGCUAGUAGGUGGGGUAAAGGCUCACCUAGGCGACGAUCCCUAGCUGGUCUGAUAUGAUGAUCAGACACACUGGAACUGAGACACGGUCCAGACUCCUACGGGAGGCAGCAGUGGGGAAUAUUGGACAAUGGGCGAAAGCCUGAUGCAGCCAUGCCGCGUGUGUGAAGAAGGUCUUCGGAUUGUAAAGCACUUUAAGUUGGGAGGCGUUACCAACAGAAUAAGCACCGGCUAACUCCGUGCCAGCAGCCGCGGUAAUAC